GAGAGAGAGAGAGAGAGAAGAUGGGUGGUGAUAAGGUGGAUGUAUUACCGUGAAGCUUGAGAAUUGUUAUCACUAAUGUGAUAUUUAUCUGAAUAUGAGUUGUAUUUAGGAGCUGUAGAAAGAAGGGUGGAGAGCUGCACUUGUUUUUGCAUCUGUUGGGUAUCUGUGGGACAUCAUAAACAGCCUAUACGAUUGUACUUGGUUGAGGUAUGGUGAAAGGGAUUAGGAGUAUGAAAUCACUAGAAUUGAAUGAAUUGAAUUUUAAAGCGAGCAAUGAAACUGAAAAGAGAUAUGGUGCAUC
rnacentral:misc_RNA from 1 species